GAUGAACGCUAGCGGCAGGCCUAACACAUGCAAGUCGAGGGGCAGCACAGGAAAGUAGUAAUACUUUUGGGUGGCGACCGGCGGACGGGUGCGUAACGCGUAUACAACCUGCCUUCUGCUGGGGGAUAAUUCGGAGAAAUCUGGUCUAAUACCCCAUAACAACCGAUGAGGCAUCUCAUUGGUUUAAAAGCUCCGGCGGUAGAAGAUGGGUAUGCGUGACAUUAGAUAGUUGGUGGGGUAACGGCUCACCAAGUCGACGAUGUCUAGGGGGACUGAGAGGUUAACCCCCCACACGGGUACUGAGACACGGACCAGACUCCUACGGGAGGCAGCAGUGAGGAAUAUUGGUCAAUGGACGCAAGUCUGAACCAGCCAUGCCGCGUGCAGGAAGACGGCUCUAUGAGUUGUAAACUGCUUUUGUACGAGGGUAAACCCAGGGACGUGUCCUUGGUAGAAAGUACCGUACGAAUAAGGAUCGGCUAACCCCGUGCCAGCCGCCGCCGUAA
rnacentral:rRNA from 1 species